GCGAGCCUCUCACUAACGGGCUUGAGCAGUGUGGCGUGUCUGAGGCCGGCCGCGUGGUGGCGCACGUGGCCGCGGCGAUUCCAUUGGGCCCUCUGGCUCCCCCCAGCCCCCCAGGCUGGUGCACCUGGCACCGAGGGGCAGGCCCAGUAAAGAUGCGAAUAAGCGGUGCUUAUGCUUGGAAAUAUUCCAGACUGUUGAGGCAGUCUUCUCCCGAAGGGAACUACAGUUCGGGGGGAGAUUUCGCUGAGGUCACAGGUCCCCUUAGCUGCAAGCAGGCCUGGAGCCUAAUGUGCCGGCCGCCAGGAGUCACAGCCCCUACGUGUCCUGCGCGCUGCAGCCGCGUCUCUUGUACAAGAUUCUGGAGGGCUGGGGCCUGGCCCUUCUGCCUCCCCAACGGCGCCUGGCACUGUGAGAGCGUGCAUGCUGCCUUGAACAUGCUGGCCCUGUGGCUCCUGCUGACCUGUGGAGAGAGGUCCAUCCUAUGGACCAACAUCUACCUGGACUGGGUACAGAUGAUGGGUUCUGUCAACUUCUUUGUAAUACUUGUUCUUGGAACCCAGCCACCAUGCUAUAAGGAAGUCCAAGCCACCCUGUGGAGAGGCAUAUGUGGAGAGAAGCAGCAUACAGCAGCAACUUGAAAGCCAUGUGAGUGAGUCAUCUUGGAAGUGAAUCUUCUAGCCCCAGCUGACGCCACAUGGGGCAGAGGUGAGCUGUUCCUGCUGAGCUCUGCCUAUUUUGCAGAUUUUUUAGCAAAUUACAUGAUGGCUUCUCUCUUAAGUCACUAAUUUUGGGGGUGGUUUGUUUGCAGUGAUAGGUAACUGAUGCAUCCCCUGCCUCCCCCCUGACUCCUACCCUAAACUGGGAGCCCAGGCCUGGAAGGCAAGAAAUAGACCAGCUCCUGGGGCAGCC